rnacentral:rRNA from 1 species
GACGAACGCUGGCGGCGUGCUUAACACAUGCAAGUCGAACGGAAAGGCCCUGCUUUUGUGGGGUGCUCGAGUGGCGAACGGGUGAGUAACACGUGAGUAACCUACCCUUGACUUUGGGAUAACUUCAGGAAACUGGGGCUAAUACCGGAUAGGAGCUCCUGCUGCAUGGUGGGGGUUGGAAAGUUUCGGCGGUUGGGGAUGUACUCGCGGCUUAUCAGCUUGUUGGUGGGGUAGUGGCUUACCAAGGCUUUGACGGGUAGCCGGCCUGAGAGGGUGACCGGCCACAUUGGGACUGAGACACGGCCCAGACUCCUACGGGAGGCAGCAGUGGGGAAUAUGGAAAAAUGGGAGGAAGCCUGAUGCAGCAACGCCGCGUGCGGGAUGACGGCCUUCGGGUUGUAAACCGCUUGCGCCUGUGACGAAGCGUGAGUGACGGUAAUGGGUAAAGAAGCACCGGCUAACUACGUG